rnacentral:rRNA from 2 species
GGGAGCUUGCUCCCUGAGAUUAGCGGCGGACGGGUGAGUAACACGUGGGCAACCUGCCUAUAAGACUGGGAUAACUUCGGGAAACCGGAGCUAAUACCGGAUACGUUCUUUUCUCGCAUGAGAGAAGAUGGAAAGACGGUUUACGCUGUCACUUAUAGAUGGGCCCGCGGCGCAUUAGCUAGUUGGUGAGGUAAUGGCUCACCAAGGCGACGAUGCGUAGCCGACCUGAGAGGGUGAUCGGCCACACUGGGACUGAGACACGGCCCAGACUCCUACGGGAGGCAGCAGUAGGGAAUCUUCCGCAAUGGACGAAAGUCUGACGGAGCAACGCCGCGUGAACGAAGAAGGCCUUCGGGUCGUAAAGUUCUGUUGUUAGGGAAGAACAAGUACCAGAGUAACUGCUGGUACCUUGACGGUACCU